rnacentral:tRNA from 1 species
GCGAAUAUGCCGGAAUAGGUAAACGGGCUUCUCUUAAGAAGAAGUGCAGUAGUUGCUUAAGAGUUCGAUUCUCUUUAUUCGUA